GACGAACGCUGGCGGCGUGCUUAACACAUGCAAGUCGAACGGAAAGGCCCUGCUUUUGUGGGGUGCUCGAGUGGCGAACGGGUGAGUAACACGUGAGUAACCUGCCCUUGACUUUGGGAUAACUUCAGGAAACUGGGGCUAAUACCGGAUAGGAGCUCCUGCUGCAUGGUGGGGGUUGGAAGGUUUCGGCGGUUGGGGAUGUACUCGCGGUUUAUCAGCUUGUUGGUGGGGUAGUGGCUUACCAAGGCUUUGACGGGUAGCCGGCCUGAGAGGGUGACCGGCCACAUUGGGACUGAGAUACGGCCCAGACUCCUACGGGAGGCAGCAGUGGGGAAUAUUGCACAAUGGGCGGAAGCCUGAUGCAGCAACGCCGCGUGCGGGAUGACGGCCUUCGGGUUGUAAACCGCUUUCGCCUGUGACGAAGCGUGAGUGACGGUAAUGGGUAAAGAAGCACCGGCUAACUACGUG
rnacentral:rRNA from 1 species